UAGGAUUCCCAACUGUAUAAUUCUGCAUGAUACAGGUAAGCUUAAACCCUUAACAAAUUCACACAAAUCCAUAAACAGUAUUAACUGCAUAAUGCGAUAAGAACAACUAACAUUGUAAAUUAAAAUAAAAAAAAGAAACGUCCUUGGAAAAUAUAGAAAAUAAAAAAAAAAUUUCCAUGAAGUACUAAACUGCAUCUGCAAUUAGUCAGUAACAGAUUUCAUUCAGGUACCAUAAACUCCAAUUUAUUUGUUAUUUUUCAUUAUUAUUGUAACCACAUUUUCCCAAAUAUUAAUUAUGUUUUCCAACUGACAUAUAAUCAGAUUCAGACAUUAACCAAAGUCUAUGCGUAAUUUAUUAUACUCUAAACUAGCCUGCAGCUGCGAGGAAAUUAUCAUUUCUUGUUCUAUAAUUUCAUCAAUUAUGAAUUGCCACUCUAUGUUAUUCUCUUGUCACAACCAGAAACAUUAUCAAAAAGUGAAAAGAAUUCACAUAAAAGCAUUCAAAGGAGCAUUUCUAGCUCAAUGCUAAUAACAAAACAAAAUAUAAAAAAAUUUCAGAUGAAUCAUACAUGUUAAAU
rnacentral:misc_RNA from 1 species